UUGACUGGGAACUUUCCCGCGCGGUGGAUUCCCCUUUAAGAAAGUAGCGAUUGCUAUGAAUAUUUAAUGCCGAGCUGAAGCUCGUCGGGCCGAGGGGGAGACCCGGCCGGCUCUCUGCGGCCGGGGCGCACAGCUAGCUCGUCCCCACCCGUCCCGCCAGGGUAAGAGGCGGAAGACGAGAGUUUUCGGUGAGGGAAAGCUUAGCGGAGCAGGACUAGGGACCUGGGGACCCGCUGGGGUCCAGCAGGCUGGUGCGGGUCAUUUCCAUAAGAAAGCGGCAACCCAGCUGGAGGCUGCAAGGCUGCGGCUCUCCCAGCGCCUCCUUGCCCCGACUGCCAGCUACUGCGGGACUCAGGCUCCUCUGGAUCCCGAACUUAGGCCAGCGCUGCAGUGUGGGUUGGUGUUGCAGAGACGUGGCCUCCAGAGUUGCCCGACUCGGACCCGUUUCCAGCCUGGAGGGAGUGGACCGACCAUGUGCAGGGCCACACUGACUCAGACACCCACCUAAUCCAAGGAGCCUCCUCCAUUUGUGAGCCUUCCUCCACUUACUCAGCAGGGAGGCUUGCUUCUCCAAGUCAGACUACAACCCGCAACCUUACCAGGACAAACAGGAGUCUGGGCAGAUGAACAUGGUUCACAUGGCCUUUGGGACCCGGCCCUCCACCCUCAUCCCUCCAAAGUCAGCAUUUUGAAAGUGACCUCCCGUUGCUGUUGCUGCUGCACAUUAUGGCCCAGUAGCCUGGCCAAGAAGUACGCCGCCAUCCUAGCAUCCUAGCAAGGCAGAGACACGUGAGCUGGACACAGAGUUCAAAAAGGAGGAAGACACCUGACCUCCUCUGGCCCUUCGACCUGCACACACAGUCACUUGGAGAAAAUCUGUAAGUGUGCCAAGUUCAAGCCAAUGAGGCGGGGUCCACCUUCUGCUGAGAGCCAGUCCUGGAAGGCACAUCUCAUGCCUGAGCUCAUGGGAAUGCUUCAGCAAAAGUAUUUCUUGUUCAUUAGUAAUAAUAAUAAUAAUAAUAAUAAUAAUAAAAAG